rnacentral:rRNA from 1 species
GACGAACGCUGGCGGCGUGCUUAACACAUGCAAGUCGAACGGAAAGGCCCUGCCUUUGUGGGGUGCUCGAGUGGCGAACGGGUGAGUAACACGUGAGUAACCUGCCCUUGACUUUGGGAUAACUUCAGGAAACUGGGGCUAAUACCGGAUAGGAGCUCCUGCUGCAUGGUGGGGGUUGGAAAGUUUCGGCGGUUGGGGAUGGACUCGCGGCUUAUCAGCUUGUUGGUGGGGUAGUGGCUUACCAAGGCUUUGACGGGUAGCCGGCCUGAGAGGGUGACCGGCCACAUUGGGACUGAGAUACGGCCCGGACUCCUACGGGAGGCAGCAGUGGGGAAUAUUGCACAAUGGGCGGAAGCCUGAUGCAGCAACGCCGCGUGCGGGAUGACGGCCUUCGGGUUGUAAACCGCUUUCGCCUGUGACGAAGCGUGAGUGACGGGAAUGGGUAAAGAAGCACCGGCUAACUACGG